rnacentral:rRNA from 1 species
CUACGUGCCAGCAGCCGCGGUAAUACGGAAGGUUCGGGCGUUAUCCGGAUUUAUUGGGUUUAAAGGGAGCGUAGGCCGGAGAUUAAGUGUGUUGUGAAAUGUAGACGCUCAACGUCUGACUUGCAGCGCAUACUGGUUUCCUUGAGUACGCACAACGUUGGCGGAAUUCGUCGUGUAGCGGUGAAAUGCUUAGAUAUGACGAAGAACUCCGAUUGCGAAGGCAGCUGACGGGAGCGCAACUGACGCUGAAGCUCGAAGGUGCGGGUAUCGAACAGGAUUAGAUACCCUGGUAGUCCGCACAGUAAACGAUGGAUGCCCGCUGUUGGUACCUAGUAUCAGCGGCUAAGCGAAAGCAUUAAGCAUCCCACCUGGGGAGUACGCCGGCAACGGUGAAACUCAAAGGAAUUGACGGGGGCCCGCACAAGCGGAGGAACAUGUGGUUUAAUUCGAUGAUACGCGAGGAACCUUACCCGGGCU